UGGGGAAUUUUGCACAAUGGGGGAAACCCUGAUGCAGCGACGCCGCGUGAUUUAGAAGGCCUUCGGGUUGUAAAAAUCUUUUCUAUGGGAAGAAAAUGACAGUACCAUAGGAAUAAGGACCGGCUAAUUACGUGCCAGCAGCCGCGGUAAUACGUAAGGUCCGAGCGUUGUCCGGAAUCAUUGGGCGUAAAGGGUACGUAGGCGGGUAAGCAAGUUAGAAGUGAAAUCCUAUAGCUCAACUAUAGUAAGCUUUUAAAACUGCUCAUCUUGAGGUAUGGAAGGGAAAGUGGAAUUCCUAGUGUAGCGGUGAAAUGCGCAGAUAUUAGGAGGAAUACCGGUGGCGAAGGCGACUUUCUGGCCAUAACCUGACGCUGAGGUACGAAAGCGUGGGUAGCAAA
rnacentral:rRNA from 1 species